GGCCAAUCUUCAAAAAAUGCUAAGAAUGUGACCAAUGUUGCUGCAAAGAAUAUAACGUCUAUUGGAAUUGCACAAGAAAAUCAAGCUAUUAAAAGGCAAAAGCUGGAUGAUGGAAGAUCCAAACAGAUACACAAUUUGAAAAAUAGAGUUCUACUCCAUAAGUCGAGAUUGGGUUUAGCUAGU